UUUCCGUAGGUGAACCUGCGGAAGGAUCAUUAAUGAGUUGUCAUGGGGUUCGAUGCUGGCAGCCAAUUUUUGGAUGCAUGUGCUUGCCCUAACAAUCAUCUUCCAAACACCUGUGCACAUUUUUGAGGGAGUCUUGAGUUGGUUGCCGCUCUUGGGUGUUUUUCUCACAUUCCCUUAAAUCAUUAUACGCUAUUAACAAUGUUGAACGUGCUCUGUGCCGCAAGGCUAUUAAUAUAAUACAACUUUUAACAACGGAUCUCUAGGCUCUC
rnacentral:misc_RNA from 1 species